rnacentral:rRNA from 1 species
UACGAAGGGGGCUAGCGUUGCUCGGAAUUACUUGGCGUAAAGCGUGCGCAGGCGGUGAUGUAAGACAGGUGUGAAAUCCCCGGGCUCAACCUGGGAACUGCAUCUGUGACUGCAUCGCUGGAGUGCGGCAGAGGGGGAUGGAAUUCCGCGUGUAGCAGUGAAAUGCGUAGAUAUGCGGAGGAACACCGAUGGCGAAGGCAAUCCCCUGGGCCUGCACUGACGCUCAUGCACGAAAGCGUGGGGAGCAAACAGG